rnacentral:lncRNA from 1 species
CUGAUACCACUUGUCACGGGGUUAGCAUUUUCGCCUCAAAAUCCCCGCGCGGCGCUCAAGUGUCGCACACUCGAGCCAGCCUUCUCGAGUCCCUUACACGGACAAGUCUCCCAGACUUAACAGCGGAAUACCAAUCCAAGCAUUUUGCCAAGCUUGCUCCUCCCCGAGACUUGCAGCCCGACCCUUCGCCUGUAAUCGAACCCCUCAUCGGACUCCUCGAGUUCCCAACGAGCAACCCCAAUAUCGAGGUUGGCCACCAAGCUAGGUGCAUCCUGUUUUGUCAACCAAACCCUCCUCGAGAGUGCUCUGUAGCCGAAUGCCUUGUUGCCUCUCUCGCCAGCCCAAGGACAUUACAAGUUCUCCCCCAACCUGUACAAUAU